GACGUAGGGGGCCAGCGUUGUUCGGAAUUACUGGGUGUAAAGGGGUUCGUAGGCGGUGUGGCAAGUCGGGAGUGAAAUUUCUGGGCUCAACUCAGAGACUGCUUCCGAAACUGCUGUGCUUGAGUGUGGGAGAGGCGCGUGGAAUUGCAGGUGUAGCGGUGAAAUGCGUAGAGAUGUGGAGGAACACCGAUGGCGAAGGCAGCCCCCUGGGCUAACACUGACGCUCAUGCACGAAAGCGUGGGGAGCAAACAGG
rnacentral:rRNA from 1 species